rnacentral:tRNA from 1 species
GGAGAUGGUAGAUCACUCUUAAAGCCGCGUCAAUACUGGUUUUACAAGAAGAUAAUUUACGCCCCUGCUAAGGGCGCAUCCGGGCAAAACCUGGAUCCAGGGUUCGAAUCCCUGCGUCUCCGCCA